GGGCGGUUAACUCAGCGGUUAGAGUGCCAUCCUCACACGGUGGAAGUCACUGGUUCAAAUCCAGUACCGCCUACCA
rnacentral:tRNA from 2 species